rnacentral:rRNA from 1 species
GAGCUUGCUCCUCCGGAUUAGUGGCGAACGGGUGAGUAAUACGUGAGCAAUGUGCCCUUGACUCUGGGAUAAGCGCUGGAAACGGCGUCUAAUACCGGAUACGACGACCGGAGGCAUCUCCUGGUCGUGGAAAGAACUUCGGUCAAGGAUCAGCUCACGGCCUAUCAGCUAGUUGGUGAGGUAACGGCUCACCAAGGCGACGACGGGUAGCCGGCCUGAGAGGGUGACCGGCCACACUGGGACUGAGACACGGCCCAGACUCCUACGGGAGGCAGCAGUGGGGAAUAUUGCACAAUGGGCGCAAGCCUGAUGCAGCAACGCCGCGUGAGGGACGAAGGCCUUCGGGUUGUAAACCUCUUUUAGCAGGGAAGAAGCGAAAGUGACGGUACCUGCAGAAAAAGCACCGGCUAACUACGUGCCAGCAGCCGCGGUAAUACGUAGGGUGCAAGCGUUGUCCGGAAUUAUUGGGCGUAAAGAGCUCGUAGGCGGUUUGUCACGUCUGCUGUGAAAACCCGAGGCUCAACCUCGGGCUUGCAGUGGGUACGGGCAGACUAGAGUGCGGUAGGGGAGAUUGGAAUUCCUGGUGUAGCGGUGGAAUGCGCAGAUAUCAGGAGGAACACCGAUGGCGAAGGCAGAUCUCUGGGCCGUAACUGACGCUGAGGAGCGAAAGCAUGGGGAGCAAACAGGCUUAGAUACCCUGGUAGUCCAUGCCGUAAACGUUGGGAACUAGAUGUGGGGACCAUUCCACGGUCUCCGUGUCGUAGCUAACGCAUUAAGUUCCCCGCCUGGGGAGUACGGCC